rnacentral:rRNA from 1 species
UACAUGGGGUGCAAACGUUGCUCGGAAUUAUUGGGCGUAAAGCGCGCGUAGGCGGUUACUUAAGUCGGAUGUGAAAGCCCUCGGCUUAACUGAGGAAGUGCACCCGAAACUGAGUAGCUAGAGUACGAAAGAGGGUCGCGGAAUUCCCGGUGUAGAGGUGAAAUUCGUAGAUAUCGGGAGGAACACCGGUGACGAAGGCGGCGACCUGGGUCGAGACUGACGCUGAGGCGCGAAAGCGUGGGGAGCAAACAGG